rnacentral:rRNA from 1 species
AUGGCUAGAGCGUGGAGGCACCAUUUUCAUGCAAUUUCUCAAGUGUCUGCGCAUCUUUUCAUGGCUCAUUUUAAAUCUCAAGAAUCCAUGAUGUUUGUACUCACGCGUCAGCCGUGGACAAUGGGCUCGGAUAAUCUUCUCAUUGAGUGGAUAGACCCAGUAGAUGAAUCCAAGACAAAGGAAGACUACAAAUUUGAGUGCAUCUAUGUGAGUGUUCGAGUUUAUGGAAUCCUCUCUACUGUCGGGAAGCCAUCUGAAUUUCAUCCUCUGCAAGAAAGCAUGUUGUUUGCUAGACCAGACUAUAUUUGGGGAAUUACUAAGAUUCGAAUAUACGGUUCAGUUGUGGACAAAAUUAACUUGACAUUGGAUGAAAAGACUACUAAAAUGGUCUAUCUUCACUAUGAGAAGAUUGGCAGAAUCUGUUUAUUCUGCAGAGUUAUGUUUCAUACAGUUCAACAUUGCCAGAAGAGGAAUGACAUUAUUAUGGCAAGGGUCAGGAGUGGGAAAUUAGCAGGAGAUAUACCAUUUUUCAUAUAUGGAGAAUGGGUAAUGGAC